rnacentral:rRNA from 1 species
UACGAAGGGAGCUAGCGUUGCUCGGAAUCACUGGGCGUAAAGCGCACGUAGGCGGAUUGCUAAGUCAGGGGUGAAAUCCUGGAGCUCAACUCCAGAACUGCCUUUGAUACUGAGGAGCUUGAGUCCGGGAGAGGUGAGUGGAACUGCGAGUGUAGAGGUGAAAUUCGUAGAUAUUCGCAAGAACACCAGUGGCGAAGGCGGCUCACUGGCCCGGUACUGACGCUGAGGUGCGAAAGCGUGGGGAGCAAGCAGG